CGAAGCUUUCAGCAUCGAGGAGAGGAGAAACGAGAAAAAACUCCCAACCCUUACGCUACUUUCCAAAUUCCAUAAUUUCUCUGUCCGAGCUCCAAUCGCCGCACCGUUUGCGGCCAUGCGUUCACCGCGUCGAUCUCUACAUUUCUACCGGAACAAUUUCAUAGGAUCCAAUUAGCUUGAGAAAAACGUUCACUCUUGCUUAUGUGAAGCUUGGGUAAGGUUGUGAAUAAAUAAUUGGAGCUUGAAAUUGUGAAUAUUGGAACUUGGAGGAAGCUGAUUAGUUGAAUUUUGAAGGGGUGCCUUGGUUUUAAAUAAUUUGCUUUGGUCGUUAUGUGGAAAUCGGCCAAGAUGCAGGUCGAGAGGCAUCUCGUUAGGCGUCUAGACUCUUGAAGCGGAGUGGUUACUGGGUUACUUUGUUAUGCUAUGAUGUAUAUUUAUGUAUUUAGCUUUCUCUCC